rfam:Nosema bombycis CQ1 unplaced genomic scaffold NBO_170, whole genome shotgun sequence.
UCCUUGUUAGUCCAGUGGUUAGGAUGUCUGUCUUUCACACAGGAGGCAGGGGUUCGAUUCCCCUACGAGGAA